CCUGAUUCAAGAGCCCAUUCUUCUGUGGCCCUCGUCGCCUCGCAGUCAGGCCUCCUCAGUCUAUUCAUGGCAUGGUCACCGCAGUCCUUCCCUUGUUCUGGGGGCCGCAUGAAGCAGCUGCUAUGUUAAUGAGAAGGACAGAGAAUAGCCCCCCUCGCCUUUCUAAAGGCUGAAUAAAUCUAGCUAGGCCGGGGCCGCGGCAGGCCUACACAAU